rnacentral:rRNA from 1 species
AACGGCGUCUAAUACUGGAUAUGAGCCUCUAUCGCAUGGUGGGGGUUGGAAAGAUUUUUUGGUCUGGGAUGGGCUCGCGGCCUAUCAGCUUGUUGGUGAGGUAAUGGCUCACCAAGGCGUCGACGGGUAGCCGGCCUGAGAGGGUGACCGGCCACACUGGGACUGAGACACGGCCCAGACUCCUACGGGAGGCAGCAGUGGGGAAUAUUGCACAAUGGGCGGAAGCCUGAUGCAGCAACGCCGCGUGAGGGAUGACGGCCUUCGGGUUGUAAACCUCUUUUAGCAGGGAAGAAGCGAGAGUGACGGUACCUGCAGAAAAAGCGCCGGCUAACUACGUGCCAGCAGCCGCGGUAAUACGUAGGGCGCAAGCGUUAUCCGGAAUUAUUGGGCGUAAAGAGCUCGUAGGCGGUUUGUCGCGUCUGCUGUGAAAUCCCGAGGCUCAACCUCGGGCCUGCAGUGGGUACGGGCAGACUAGAGUGCGGUAGGGGAGAUUGGAAUUCCUGGUGUAGCGGUGGAAUGCGCAGAUAUCAGGAGGAACACCGAUGGCGAAGGCAGAUCUCUGGGCCGUAACUGACGCUGAGGAGCGAAAGGGUGGGGAGCAAACAGGCUUAGAUACCCUGGUAGUCCACCCCGUAAACGUUGGGAACUAGUUGUGGGGACCAUU